ensembl:lncRNA
CAACCUCACUCACAUAUACAGUACAAGUUUGUGUAGUGCUACACAAACUAAGGCGCAUACAUAUCUUCGCCUGGGGCCCCCAAUUUGCUAGAUCCAUCAAUGAGGACUGUGGCCCAUUGUCAAUCAUCAGUCUUUCGUGCAAAGAUGAAUCUCAGGUGGACAAUGACAUCAGUCAACCUGGAGGGAUUGAGCUGGAAUAUCUCCAGGUACCACCAAUAGCAUGGUCGACACUGGCGGACCAGUUCAUUCAGCGGCAGGCUCAGGCCCGGCCACCACACUGACUGCCGUGCACGCUCCCUGCACUUCACCACGCCCUGAGGGCCUACGGGUGUUAUGCUCCUCCUGCGACCGACCCUACACCAGCACCUCAUCCAUAUGGCAGACGAAGCCCUAGAGGCCAUUUUUGACCUGUCACCAUUCUGUUUGGAAGUGCUCUGGGGCAGAGACCAUCUUUAAAACAAGCCUGUGGAAGUGAUAACGCUAGAUGGGUGUGAUGAACGUUGU